rnacentral:piRNA from 1 species
UACUGGUUGAUUGCCAAGUUGGGUAACUGC